rnacentral:rRNA from 1 species
GGACGAACGCUGGCGGCAUGCCUAACACAUGCAAGUCGAACGGAGAAUUCCUUCGGGGAUUCUUAGUGGCGAACGGGUGAGUAACGCGUAGGCAACCUGCCCUUUGGAUGGGGACAACAUUCCGAAAGGAGUGCUAAUACCGAAUGUGACGAUUUUACCGCAUGGUUUAAUCGUGAAAGAUGGCCUCUACAUGUAAGCUAUCGCCAAAGGAUGGGCCUGCGUCUGAUUAGAUAGUUGGUGGGGUAACGGCCUACCAAGUCGACGGUCAGUAGCCGGACCGAGAGGUUGAACGGCCACAUUGGGACUGAGACACGGCCCAGACUCCUACGGGAGGCAGCAGUGGGGAAUAUUGCACAAUGGGCGCAAGCCUGAUGCAGCAACGCCGCGUGAGGGAAGACGGUCUUCGGAUUGUAAACCUCUGUCCUUGGUGAAGAAUAAAUGACGGUAGCCUUGGAGGAAGCCACGGCUAACUACGUG